UAUGUAUCUCUAUAAGGCUUUCUUUGAGAAGGAGGUGGAAGAUGGCAUUUGUAUACACAAAUACAUCCAUACACUUACUCAAGCUAACACAAUAUGUUAGCACUCUUUUGUGCUGUAAACCUAGUAAGCACACUAUCAUGAUAGCUGGAGAUGAAAUUUUUUGGUAAGAAUGUGCCUAUUCACUCCUCACAUCAUGAUUUCCAGAUUCCCCCUCAGAUUUAUACUGCAGCUCUGAAGCUCCUCAGUGAAAUAUGCUUAAAGUCUUGCUCAUACCUCCCUGGAGCUACACACUGGAGAGCACAGCCGUGUGUGCUGCACAGCUUGGGUACCAGAGCAGAUGCUUCUGCACUGACUGUUCAUGUGGAAGACAGAAUAUGGCAGCUGAUGCAUUUAUCUUUGUUUUGUGCAACUUGGGCACAAAGAGGUUUUCUCACCAAACUGAUCACAGGAUGACAGUAUGAAAAAAAAAGUAUGCUUUUUGCAUUGUCUUUGCAGUUGAAAAUAAAUUGUAAAAAUCUUUUUCGUGUUGCAGGAUUUUCACAAGUACCCCUAAAUGUCAUUUUCUGAAGAAAUGAGACCACUUGGCUUUGUCAGAUUUUCGAUGGAAUUACCAGCAUGCCAAUUCCCAGCUCAAAAAUGCUGAGCCAAUUACAUCUCCAAGAAGUCACCAGACAAAACCUCCUGAAAGUCCCAAGCAGCUUUAUGUUAGUGGAAAUGCAUUUAGGAGUAAGGAAAAGCAUCUGGAUUUUACUGGCAAAUACCUCUGGAAGACAGAACUAAUUGCUCCAAUUAUUACUGGAGAGCCAGGUGGGAAAUGAGAAUGUGAGGACAAUUAGGGAUAGAUAAAAAAUACUUCUCCAAGUUUAGAGCUGAUAAUACUUAGGUUUAUAAUACUGCUGUUGUCUAUCUUGACUCACUUCUUUAAAGUGUGGUAUUUAGGCAUUAGUAGUAAGGCUAUCCCUAGCUUAAGGAAGCACGUAUAAAAUACAGACACCUUUCUAAAAAACAACAGAGAGGAUAAGGACUACUGACAGCGCAUAGGCCUGAUUCAUUGCUUAAGGAUCCCUUGUGACAGGAAGUAUAUCUGUUCAAUUCUUAAAACUGAAAUUUCCAUUCCUUAAAAUAACGGAGGUAUAGGAUGGGGGGAUCAACAGUCUAGCUGCAAGUGCUUUCAGCACUUAUUUUUUACUCCCUUAUGUCCCUUUUUUCCUUUGGUAUUGUAGAAGCUGCUCAUGUGAGAAAUUACCUUUGCUGGUAUUUUCUGCUUUAAAUUUUGGUGGCAUUGAUUAAACUUGUGCUGUCAAGGGUAGUAAAUGGCAGACCCUUGGUAGAAGGUAAUAGCAGAAAACAAGGUUGUGAUUUCAUAUUAAAGACAGUUUAAACAAUGUCAGGUUGAAUUUUAGCCUUUUUAUUUAUAGGGAUAGUAGAAAGGUUUGGCAAAUAUUCUGAUUCCUUCAGUUGGACUUCUUCCUGGGAAAGGAUCACAUUUUAUUCAGUAAUAUUCUAUUUCACGAACUGACCUCUUCUAUAUGUAAAUCAGAAUGUCAAUAAGACUAUAAAAGUAAAUAUUGCAGCCACUAAAAAUGUUUUUUAAAAAAGAGAUCACCAGGUUUACAUUGCUCUUUAGGAAAGAUACUGAGAGUGUGCAGCAAUUUCUUUUGCUACAUACUAUGAGACAUGAACUCAAAACCAAAAAAUGCAAUUCAAUCACUGUUCAAGUCGGUGUUGGUAACAUUUCAGAUUGUCUGGAUUACUCUUUAAAUCCAUGGAUCAAUAUCCAUUACAGUCAAAUCAACAGUCUCAUACUGGGUCAGUUCAAGAUUCUACUGGUUCAAGAAAAAUACUUGAAUGUCCAGACUUUUUCCAGGUUCUCUUACAUUUUAGUAUAUGUUAGGAUUAAAUGUGCAAGACUCCUGAGUUUUGAGUUAUUGCCAAGAGAGCAAACAGCAAUGGGAGUAUUUGACCUUUGUGCAAGAAGUUAAUAGAUGGUGCUCCUUGUGUUUUUGAGACACCAGUCUGAAAAGGCCUUGGAAAGAAUUGGAUCAAGACCUGUUGCAGAAACAUGGAACUAUUUUAAAAUUUCCCACCAGUGAAAGUGACUGGUUCUGACCUGCAGUUCUCAGACUCUUGCUACCCAAUACUAUACAUGUGACAUCCUGACUGUUUCAGGAAUUGAAUCUCAAUCCAAAUGCAAGAAACUGAAAAGAAAGUGGAAUUUUUGUGGCACAGAGCUACUGACUAUCUGUUCAAGACAAAACACUGGGUGAAUUGAGAGAAAUGUGGAUGCCUGAUGCUCCUAAUCAAAGGUACAGAAGAAACCACUGCGGAAGGAGAAAAAUAUUUCUACUUCUAUAACUGUAAAACACCUUUGCCUGAAUGGGCAACUGUUCCCAGAACACCACUCACACAGCACAGGCAUAUUUGUAGUUUGUGUGUUGAACCUUUCAAUAAUCA